AGCAUGGUGGCUUAGUGGCAUAGUGGCUAGCACAGUUGCCUUGCACCUCCAGGGUUGGGGGUUCGACUCCCACCCCUGCCC